GAUGAACGAGGGAGGCGUGCCUAAUACAUGCAAGUCGAGCGAACAGAUGAGGAGCUUGCUCCUCUGACGUUAGCGGCGGACGGGUGAGUAACACGUGGAUAACCUACCUAUAAGACUGGGAUAACUUCGGGAAACCGGAGCUAAUACCGGAUAAUAUAUUGAACCGCAUGGUUCAAUAGUGAACGACGGUUUUGCUGUCACUUAUAGAUGGAUCCGCGCCGCAUUAGCUAGUUGGUAAGGUAACGGCUUACCAAGGCAACGAUGCGUAGCCGACCUGAGAGGGUGAUCGGCCACACUGGAACUGAGACACGGUCCAGACUCCUACGGGAGGCAGCAGUAGGGAAUCUUCCGCAAUGGGCGAAAGCCUGACGGAGCAACGCCGCGUGAGUGAUGAAGGUCUUCGGAUCGUAAAACUCUGUUAUUAGGGAAGAACAAAUGUGUAAGUAACUAUGCACGUCUUGACGGUACCUAAUCAGAAAGCCACGGCUAACUACGUG
rnacentral:rRNA from 1 species